rnacentral:rRNA from 1 species
GACGAACGCUGGCGGCGCGCCUAACACAUGCAAGUCGAACGAGCGAGAGAGAGCUUGCUUUCUCGAGCGAGUGGCGAACGGGUGAGUAACGCGUGAGGAACCUGCCUCAAAGAGGGGGACAACAGUUGGAAACGACUGCUAAUACCGCAUAAGCCCACAGGUCGGCAUCGACCAGAGGGAAAAGGAGCAAUCCGCUUUGAGAUGGCCUCGCGUCCGAUUAGCUAGUUGGUGAGGUAACGGCCCACCAAGGCGACGAUCGGUAGCCGGACUGAGAGGUUGAACGGCCACAUUGGGACUGAGACACGGCCCAGACUCCUACGGGAGGCAGCAGUGGGGAAUAUUGCACAAUGGGGGAAACCCUGAUGCAGCGACGCCGCGUGGAGGAAGAAGGUCUUCGGAUUGUAAACUCCUGUUGUUGAGGAAGAUAAUGACGGUACUCAACAAGGAAGUGACGGCUA